GACGAACGCUGGCGGCGUGCCUAAUACAUGCAAGUUGAGCGAUGAAGCUUGGUGCUUGCUCCAAUUUGAAGAGCAGCGAACGGGUGAGUAACGCGUGGGGAAUCUGCCUUUGAGCGGGGGACAACAUUUGGAAACGAAUGCUAAUACCGCAUAACAACUUUAAACAUAAGUUUUAAGUUUGAAAGAUGCAAUUGCAUCACUCAAAGAUGAUCUCGCCUUGUAUUAGCUAGUUGGUGAGGUAAAGGCUCACCAAGGCGAUGAUACAUAGCCGACCUGAGAGGGUGAUCGGCCACAUUGGGACUGAGACAAGGCCCAAACUCCUUCGGGAGGCAGCAGUAGGGGAUUCUCGGCAAAGGACGAAAGUCUGACCGGGCCACGCCGCGGUAGUGAAGAAGGUUCUCGGAUCGGUAAACUCUGUUGGUAGAGAAGAAAGUUGGUGGGAGGUGACAGCUCAUAAAGUGACGGUAACUACCCAGAAAGGGACGGCUAACUACGUG
rnacentral:rRNA from 1 species